CCUCCGGGUGGCAGCAGUGAGGAAUAUUGGUCAAUGGGCGCGAGCCUGAACCAGCCAAGUCGCGUGAGGGAAGACGGCCCUACGGGUUGUAAACCUCUUUUGCCGGGGAGCAACGGGCGCCACGUGUGGCGCCACUGAGAGUACCCGGAGAAAAAGCAUCGGCUAACUCCGUGCCAGCAGCCGCGGUAAUACGGAGGAUGCGAGCGUUAUCCGGAUUUAUUGGGUUUAAAGGGUGCGUAGGCGGAGCGUUAAGUCAGUGGUCAAAUUGAGGGGCUCAACCCCUUCCCGCCAUUGAAACUGGCAGUCUUGAGUACAGUUGAGGUAGGCGGAAUUCGUGGUGUAGCGGUGAAAUGCUUAGAUAUCACGAAGAACUCCGAUUGCGAAGGCAGCUUACUAAACUGCCACUGACAUUGAUGCUCGAAAGUGUGGGUAUCAAACAGGAUUAGAUACCCUUGUAGUC
rnacentral:rRNA from 1 species